rnacentral:tRNA from 1 species
GGGGAUAUAGCUCAGAUGGUUAGAGUGCUGGUCUGUCACGCCAGAAGUCGCGGGUUCGAUCCCCGUUUUCCCCG